rnacentral:misc_RNA from 1 species
CUUACACUUCGUCAUAUCUUUUCUAUUGUUUAAGCGGUUUCCCCUACAUAAUUACAAUAGGAGAAGCUUCUAUUUUCUGUUUAAUCUUGGGUUACUCAAACGACCUUUAGGCGGGUGUAAAUAUUUGUUUUCUAUGUUUGUUUGUGGGCAUAUUGAGCUUUAAUGAUAGGUUUUUCCUUUGAAUAUGCCUUGUCCUGUCUUUCUUCUUUGGCUCUGUGCUUAUAGCAAGUUUGGAUACUGUUGGCUUUCGGUGCUUCCCAGAGAGGUGUUAAACGUCUAGGUUCUCCUUUUGCAACCCAGUGUAUGCAUUUCUUCUAUAAGUGACUGAAAUCUUCGGGAUGGCGAUACCUUCGGGAUCGUGUGUCGGACUUUAAAGGUGACCCAUAAGGCUCGCUUGCCGUGGAGCUUUGCCCAGUCGCCCUCGUUAACAGAAUAUUCAAAUUGCAACAAGUUUCUUUGGAUCCCUGGUUGCUUUUGGUCUUAUGCUUUUCUCUGAGCUAGCUCUAUGAAGACCGUGGUUGAUCUCUACUUGGUAGCUAGCUGCGAUCCUCGCUAUCUAUGGCCAUUGAAAGGCGAAGAUCUCUCCGGCGACACCUCAUCUGGUUUCAUCAGUGGUGGCUUUUGCAACCCAUUGUUUUGCUGAUUUAGGUCUUCUUUAGGUUUAGGAUCCGAUGCAGUCUAGGGCUCUAGUUUGUUGGGCUUUAGGCUUUUU